CUCUAACUCUGACCACUUUGUUGUGGAAAGACAACACGAACAGCCGGGAGCAUUGCAUGGAGAUGAACUAUGGAGCUUCUCGCGGUCAGAACGAUGCCCCCUGCUGGUACAAACGUCCCUUCCUGUGUGCCAGAAAGCGCUGAUGUCCACAUUUUGGGAGAGACAACAUUGGAGAAGCUCUCUAAAGCAUAUGAGAUUGUUUUAAAUAAAGGCACCAUCUGCAAUGUUGCCCUUUGUUCAGUGGUCAUUUAUACAACAUUGGAGAAGCUCUCUAAAGCAUAUGAGAUUGUUUUAAAUAAAAGGCAUGACCUUUAAUUCUGUGGUCAUUUAUGCAAAACACCAGCUGGAUCCAACUAUUAAUCUCUGUAGAAUGAAGUAAAUAACAUCCUCGGUAAAAUAAACUUUAAACAGUUGCUAAUAACAUCUUUGGUAAAAAUAAAUGUUAAACAGUUGCUAAUAACAUCUUUGGUAAAAAUAAAUGUUAAAGAGUUGCUAAUAACAUCUUUGGUAAAACAAAUGUUAAAGAGUUGCUUUUCACUUU